rnacentral:misc_RNA from 1 species
GAUGAAGAACGCAGCGAAAUGCGAUACGUAAUGUGAAUUGCAAAUUCAGUGAAUCAUCGAGUCUUUGAACGCACAUUGCGCCCCCUGGUAUUCCGGGGGGCAUACCUGUCCGAGCGUCAUUGCUGCCCUCAAGCACGGCUUGUGUGUUGGGCCCCGUCCUCCGAUCCCGGGGGACGGGCCCGAAAGGCAGCGGCGGCACCGCGUCCGGUCCUCGAGCGUAUGGGGCUUUGUCACCCGCUCUGUAGGCCCGGCCGGCGCUUGCCGAUCAACCCAAAUUUUUAUCCAGGUUGACCUCGGAUCAGGUAGGGAUACCCGCUGAACUUAAGCAUAUCAAUAAGCGGAGGA